AAACCGGAACACUUACUUCCAGGUUUUUGGCAUUUGGGAACCAAGGUACCACUUUAUCCCAGAAUCCCCUGCAAUUGCCCUGGGCAUCGGUGACAAGACAACCUGUGUGGGCAGGCAAGCGGAUGUGGAAAACUUUGAAAACCUCUGACACAGUAUGAUGUGGACCAAUGUCUUUUUUUUAACACCAACCCUGCAGGGAGGACCUGGGCCUGAGAGAGAGGCAGGCCUCAAAAGCAGCUCCAGGCUUUGACAAAUGACAUUCCAGUCCUGCUCCUGCCAUGCUCCUUUCCCGGGCAGAUGCCGACAACAACACAAUUCCACAGUCAAGAUUUAGUUAACUGGCGUAGCCUUGGCAUGAUGAUUUUUACCAGUGGCACUCCAGUGGCGACCAGAACAAUGCUUGGAGAAUUUACCCUGGCAGGGAGCGGUCAUGAUCAACAAUGUUAGAAGCUGCCUUGUGCCGGUUUGAGGCCACUGGUCCCUUUCUAGCUUAGCACUGUGCAAUCGGCUCAGAAGCAUCUCUCCAGGAGCUGCGGCAGUCAGAGACAUCUUCCCAGCUGUGAGACCUCAGAUCUGUAGAUGGCAGGACUGAACCUGGGGCCUUUUUCACUCUGAGAAGGUGUCCUGACCCCAAGCUUUGGAGAAUUUAGUUGAAAGUAAAAGAAAUGAGCUCUACAUUUCUGUUUGGGACUCUCCCCCCGCCCCCGCCCUGCUUUUGGCACAAUUUUAAGCCUUGCUUGUUUACCCCUCCAGAUAUGUUAAUUAAAGUGUGUGAUCUCGUGCCAUAUCAGAAGAUACAAAAACGAGUGUUUUAGCCUUAUUGCAGCAUUAAUUAAAAAAUGUGAGAUUGAAA